AUGUUUAACCUGCUGCAUUUUAAAUACACCUUGAUUAAGGGAGGAUUGUGCGGCUCAGUAUAUGUCAUUUGUCUAUGGGGUUCAUAUGUUGUUUUUUUUAAUAUAUAGAUUAGAAUGUUGAUUUUCCAGUUUUUAGUUUGCUGUUCAGUGUGAGCCAAGACAACAUGUUGAAAGUUGUACUUUGACCUUUAAUUGACAUCUCAAUUAUAUUAAUCAAUAGACAAACAUGGUAUUUUUUCACAUUUUGAUAUUUCAUUUUUAUAAUGGUUGUGACAAUCUAUCUCCUACCAUUAUGUUUGAU
rnacentral:lncRNA from 1 species